UGAUCGGAGAUUGGAAGGUCUUGAUGCCGGCGGUGACAUGGAUCACGAUGAAAACAUCACCGAGUUGUGUGGAUUCAA
rnacentral:ribozyme from 1 species